CCCAAGUUAUAUAUCACGAAGAAAGGGAUGAAGAAGGCUCUGGGAAAGAAGAGAACGAAUGCCAGGAAGAAGGUGGUCGAUGCCGGAGACCAUGGGCAUGUCUGAGGGAUGAAAAGCUGCAGAUUAACUUCGGACUGUCAGAGGAAUGUCAUGGGAUAUCAGUCUGUUGCGUACCGGAAGCUAAGAACGAAUGUGAAGAGGAAGGAGGACAGUGCAAGAGAGCAAAGACUUGUAUCAGGGACACCCGAGGCAAGAUUGAUAUUGAGCUUUCGCAGGAAUGCCCAGGAAGAUCGGUGUGCUGCGUCAAGAAG